CGUAGAAAUGGCUAAACAACAUUACAAUUCGAACGGCGGACACUUUUGAGCGAAAGGAUCCACCGAUGCAAACCACAAAACACCGCUGUAGAUGAAAAAUCUGUCACUUCACGUGUAACGGAGGCCAGCUGUUAGAGGGAGAGCUGUGUGUGCAGGCAGAGGUGCGAGCUCGUCUCUCCCUCAGAGGACCGAUGGCGGUUUCGAGACUAUGAGGGGUUGCAUUACCACGGUGCUCACCGUGUCCACCAUCAUCACAGGGGAAACCGCCUCCAUGCCCCGAGUGUCUUACAUCAAAUGUGGAAAUUAACCUUUGGGUCAGAUUAGUCAUUAUGUCUGUGAUCGAGCACGCAGCUGUCCACAUUACAGGAGCGUAAAGAGAGGACACAAAGCAGUAAGUUGCCGUGUACGUGUGGAAUGGUUCAUCCGGGGCAGAUGAUGUACAACAGCAGCUACAGUGACAUGGAUGUGAUGAGCACCGGGAACUACGGCAUGUCAGAGCUGAAAGGAGACACAAAGGAUCAGUUCCUGAUGCAUUUAGUUUUGGAUAAUGAACAAGGACCUUCACGCAGCAGUUUAUUUAUAGACACACAUGCUAUUGACAAAUACUCAUGGCUCAUCUUCCCUGGAGCGUACACACUCUUCAACAUUAUAUACUGGUCCAUAUACUCUCGGUGACUGCUGCUCCUUUCUUUUUACUCUACAGACAUUUGCGAAGCAGAAUCACAAUACAUUUUGUACUGUGAUGAUCAAAAAACUAAUUUUCUCAACUUGUCAAUAACAAAUAUUCUUGAUACGUGUGUGUAUCAUUUUACAGUUAACAAAGAAAAGCAUGCAUUCUUUUUUUUGUGAAAAACACA